rnacentral:other from 1 species
CGGUCACUGUCUCGCGCGUCAGGUUGCGAUGCCCAGGGGCCUUAAUUGUACUCAUCGGGAGUUGUCCCUGCCUGGGAUCGUGGUCCCGGGCACACGACGCCCACCUGCAUUUGCAGGCCCAUGAGAUCCAAUACCAACGGCAAGUACGGUACCGUC